rnacentral:rRNA from 1 species
GAUGAACGCUGGCGGCGUGCCUAAUACAUGCCAGUCGAGCGAACGGAUGAGAAGCUUGCUUCUCUGAUGUUAGCGGCGGACGGGUGAGUAACACGUGGAUAACCUACCUAUAAGACUGGGAUAACUUCGGGAAACCGGAGCUAAUACCGGAUUAUAUUUUGAACCGCAUGGUUCAAAAGUGAAAGACGGUCUUGCUGUCACUUAUAGAUGGAUCCGCGCUGCAUUAGCUAGUUGGUAAGGUAACGGCUUACCAAGGCAACGAUGCAUAGCCGACCUGAGAGGGUGAUCGGCCACACUGGAACUGAGACACGGUCCAGACUCCUACGGGAGGAAGCAGUAGGGAAUCUUCCGCAAUGGGCGAAAGCCUGACGGAGCAACGCCGCGUGAGUGAUGAAGGUCUUCGGAUCGUAAAACUCUGUUAUUAGGGAAGAACAUAUGUGUAAGUAACUGUGCACAUCUUGACGGUACCUAAUCAGAAAGCCACGGCUAACUACGUG